GCGGGACGGGGCCGCCCCGCGAGGGACGGCGCCGCCCCGGGGCUCGUGAUAUCUUAUCUCGCCGCCCGUCGCGAGGCGGACGGAGGGAUGGAUGAGGUUACCUGGAAAAAAUCGGGGCGAUCUAGGCGGGCGAACCUCGCCAACGAACGAUCGGACAUGGGAUAACGGAAGAGGGCGUCGGCUCGACUUCGUCGGUUCCUCGGGCCGAGGCACGUACGGUGAAUAGGGACGGUCGGGGCCGCCCGUACCGGGUCGUGAGAGGUGAAAUUCUAGGAUCGACCCGAGACGAACUGCCGCGAAAGCAUUCGGCAAGGACGCUUUCAUUAAUCAAGAACGAAAGUCGGGGGAUCGAAGACGAUCAGAUACCGUCGUAGUCCCGACCGUAAACGAUGCCGACCGAGGCCCGGAGGAGUUACGUACGACCCUCCGGGCCCUCCCGCGAGAAAUCAGGAGUAUUCGGGUUCCGGGGGGAGUAUGGUCGCAAGGCCG
rnacentral:rRNA from 1 species